GGAUGUGAGAGUGAUCUGGCUGUGACAUCUGUCACCCCAUUGAUCACCAGGGUUGAUUCAGCUGAUCUGGCUGGCUAGGCAGGUGUCCCCUUCCUCCCUCACUGUUCCAUGUGCGUCCCUCCCGAAGCUGCAUGCUCGGCCGAAGAGGACGACCUUCCCCAAAAAGAGGAGGACUGGUCUUCGGUCAAGGGUAUACGAGUAGCUGCGCUCCCCUGCUAGAACCUCCAAACAAGCUCUGUUUCUCCCUUCUAGGUAUUACGGAUAGAGCAGCAUCAAGUAAAGAUGAGCCAGUAUCUCUGUAGUAGGAUGUAGAGUCCUU
rnacentral:snRNA from 1 species